rnacentral:rRNA from 1 species
GACGAACGCUGGCGGCGUGCCUAAUACAUGCAAGUCGAGCGAAUCAUUAGGAGCUUGCUCCUGGUGGUUAGCGGCGGACGGGUGAGUAACACGUGGGCAACCUGCCUGUAAGACUGGGAUAACACCGGGAAACCGGUGCUAAUACCGGAUAAUCCUUUCCCUCUCAUGAGGGAAAGCUGAAAGUCGGUUUCGGCUGACACUUACAGAUGGGCCCGCGGCGCAUUAGCUAGUUGGUGAGGUAACGGCUCACCAAGGCGACGAUGCGUAACCGACCUGAGAGGGUGAUCGGCCACACUGGGACUGAGACACGGCCCAGACUCCUACGGGAGGCAGCAGUAGGGAAUCUUCCACAAUGGACGAAAGUCUGAUGGAGCAACGCCGCGUGAGCGAUGAAGGCCUUCGGGUCGUAAAGCUCUGUUGUUAGGGAAGAACAAGUACCGGAGUAACUGCCGGUACCUUGACGGUACCUAACCAGAAAGCCACGGCUAACUACGUGCCAGCCGCCGCCGUAAAAC